GACCGCUGUAUAUGUUUUUCCAUCUCUUUCUACAACUGCCAGAAACCUCAUACAUACAAUGACAAUGUAUUCUGGCACUUACUACUAUUUUAUAUAUGCAAUCUCAAACGACAACAAAAAGGUAAUUUGAACUAAAAUUGAAAGUAAAAACUAUUUGCUCAGCACCAGCAGUUAUGAUACGACUCCAAUCUUUUUUCAUUCAGUCACUCUAUCUGUAAGUCUGUCUGUCUAUUUUUUGUUUGUCUGUUUCACUGAUGCCUUAAUCUUGCAAUGACAAAAAGAAAAAAACUAAGUGAGCUUAAGAAACAAAAAACACUUGAAUUUUCUUCUAAGUGAACGGAGCCGUGCUGAGCGACAAAGCGAGGAAUGUUUGAUAUCAAAUGAUUUUUUACGCAUAAAAUUGCCAACAAUAGCACAAUGGCAUUUUGAAAUUAUAAAAGCAAGAAGCAAAACUUUGGCGGCUUGGUAAAGGGAGACAAAUUAUGAAAUGCAACAAUUUGAAACUCACUAUUGUGGCAGAUGCUUUGCGCGGCUCACAGGAAUUGGAUGUGCCUGUCGAUACCACCCUAUCAAGUUUACAUGUCAAAAUUGAUAAAC
rnacentral:sRNA from 1 species